rnacentral:misc_RNA from 1 species
UUGAAUAAACUUGGUGGGUUGUUGCUGGCCUCCAGUUCAGGGGGCAUAUGUGCACACCUUCCUUUGUUUUUUCUUUCACCACCUGUGCACAUUUUGUAGACUUGGAUAAUCUUUCGAGGCAACUCGGUCGGGAGGCUGUCAACUGAUCUUAGUGGGCUGUCUCUGUAUUUCCAGUCUACGUUCUUCAUAUACACCACUGUAUGUCAUAGAAUGCAUUAGUAUUUGGGUCCUUGAAAGGCCUAAUAAAUUUCAUA